rnacentral:lncRNA from 1 species
AAACUGUCUGAAGCGGAGCCAGAAGAGUUGUCGCUGCAGUGUGUCUUUCUUCAAUUUCCAUUGUUCACCUGUGUGGAGCCAGAGCUGGUAUCUGUACAGCAGUGGAUGAACAAGCCCAGUUUCCUCAGCCUAUCUUCAUGGGACAGGUUCAUGGCCCACCUCUGGACCCUCUCCAAAAGCUCCACAUCUUUCCUGUGUUGGGGGCUCCAGACAUAGACAGAGUACUCCAGCAGGGGCCUCACAAGAGCAGAGGGGGACAACCACUUCCCUCUCCCUGCUUGCCACCACUCUUCUGAUGGAACCCAGGACACCAUUGGCCUUCUGGGCUGCAGUUACACACUGCUGACGCAUGUUAUGUUUUUCACCAACUAGGACCCUUAAAUCUUUCUCAUCAGAACUGCUCUCAAAUUCUUCUCUCAGUCUGUAUACAUAUCUGGGAUUACCUCGUUCCAAGUACAAAUCUUUCACUUUGCUCUACUGAACCUCAUUUGUUGAAUCUCAUUAACAUCUAACAAUGUAAAUGAAUUUGGAUUAAUCACAAAAAAAAAAAAAAAAAACCCAGAUAAUUUUUCAUGGUGAUGUCACUUUUUGAAAAUGUCACUUGUCAGCAUUAUCAAGCAUUAUCAAGAAAGACCUUGCUAAAGAUCAAAGGUCUAGAAAGCAUUAGGAAUCAAAAGCUGUUAAUGUUAGGGAACCAAUUACCAAGGAUAGAAGGAUGAGAAUCACUAUAGUAAGAAUAUUUGAUAAUUUGUAUUAGUUUUACUCUGCAACCUGCUGGUUGUAAUACACCUAAAUAUUCAUUUUAGUUACAGAUUUCAAAAAAAGAAAAAAUGUAUACUCACAGGACUCAUUGACAACAUACUGUUGUGCUCUUCAACAUCUUGAAUGACAUAAACAAUAGAAUUGAGUGCACCCUCAAUUUCGUUUGUAAGUUUGCAGAAGACACCAAUCUCAGUGGUGCAGUUGAUGGUGCACUGAAGGGAGGGGAAGCCAUACAGAUGGACCUGGACAGGCUAGAGAAGUGGGCCCAUGUGAACCUAGUGAGGUUCAACAAAGCCAAGUGAAAGGUUUUGCACUUGGGUUGGGGCAAUCCCAGGUAUUUUUACAGACUGGGAGAAGAUCUCAUUGAGAGCAGCCCUGUGGAUAUAAUGCCCUCAUUAAUAAUGAGGGCAUAUAAUAAAAAAAUAAAGUGCUCUCUUUAACUU